AAGCAUGAUGAAGCUUAGGAAUAGUCAAGUGGUGAGUGAAAACGGCGCCGUUUCAUUAAAAUAAAAUAAAUUAUAAAAAAAAAUGAAAAAGCUCACAACUCAUCGUAUGAAGCAAGAAGACCGAGUGAGGAAAAAUUGCCAAUUUUCUUUCACCGGAUAUUGAUGAUGGUUUUUUUGAAGGUUGAAAGAAGGAAAUGGAAAAGCAGAGAACUGAUUUGUGGCUUUGGUGUUUUCUUUCAGCUCACACGACAGAUUGCAAACUAGACCAAACUAAUGAGCCGUACUGGAUUGGGGAAUGCUGGUGAAUUUGUUAUGUGGGCUGGUAGGCUGAUCAAACAUUAAUUUUCAAGAUUUUUGGUGAUUUAGUAACAUGUGUCUUGGUGAUUAAAAUCAUAUCAAACAAACUUUGGGAAUUGGAGGAGUUCUUGCUUUCUUGUGCAGUUGGUGAUAGACUCUCAAUGUAAUAUGUUGCUUCCGAUCUAGAAUUUUAGGAGGAAAAGAUUGAUGCUUCCCUUGAGGUUCUUAUCUUAUCCUUGCUAAUGAUGAAUUGGGGGAUGCUCUCACAUAUGAGGAAGUCGCUUUGGUUAAACCAAUCUAGGAGCUGGAAUAGGUAGCAAAGAGGUUGAUGUAUGAAGCAUACCAAAGACGUUGUGCAAUGUCAAGGAGAUUCCUCUCACAUUAGAUGUGGAAGCACCCUUCCUUCGCUUGAUGCUAAGGUUUGGUUUUCUACAAGAGUGGAAGAUGAAGUGCAAUAAAAUCAAGUGGUUCACAAUGAUAGAAAAUCAUAGUGUUGUGCUAUUGAAGGUUAUGUAAACAAACUCAUUAGAAUGUGAAUAUGUACUACAUACUAUCACCUUCUAACAUAGAGCUAUAUCUGAAAGCUUAGUUUUUACAGUGGUUGAAUUUAGCUAGAAAACAUGCCUUGUUUGAUUUUUUAAAGAAACAUUGGCUAAAGUCAACUAUGAUUACAAGGUAUGCAUAGUGCUUGGUAGUGGAUGUGUAACCAUAUUUGGUAGUGAUACUUUGUCAAGGUGUUUUAAAUUUCAUCAAUGAUCAGCUAGAAUCCUGUUUUCUUCUUCUA